CUUCCCGUAGGGGGACCUGCGGAAGGAUCAUUA
rnacentral:rRNA from 1 species